UUUCCCUUCUUCCACCGAUCAAACCCAAACCCCGUGCCCUCCUCCCAUUUCCCAUUCCCAUUUAUCCUCUUCCACCGAUCAAAGUCCCAAACCCCGUGCCCUCCUCUGAUCAAAGCCGUAAUUCUUAUCCUUUGUUAAAUGAUCUUGUGAUAAUUUUUUAUUUAUUUAAGGAAAUCCAAUCUGCAUUUUCACUUUAUUUCCAUUCUAGACAUUUUUUUUUAUCUGUUUGCUCAAAUGGGUAUCUAUUAUUAGGCAUAAAAAAAGUUUUUGUUUUUGUUUUUUAAUUUUUUCUGUAAAGCUAUUAACUUUCUUGCUCUUUCUAAAUACAAGAGAAUAAAUUCACAAAAGCAAAUUCCCAUUUAUGUUUGAUCAUUUGGGUAUUUUUCGUUUGAUCAUUUGGGUAUCUAUUAUUAGGGGUUUUGAUUCCAUGGCUGCAGUGGCUGAUAAUUCAGGCGAGGCAGCAGUAGCUAAUGGAAACAACAAUUUGGUUGUUGAAACAUCCAAAUCAGAAUCAAAGGAAUUCAAUGUGCAAAAGCUUGUUGAUAUGUUCACAAAGUUGAAUCCUUUAGCCAAAGAAUUUUUCCCAUCAUCGUAUCAUCAUAAUCCCACCAAAACUGGUGAUUUUAAUUAGGCUCCUGUUAAUAAGCAAGGCAAUGAGAAUUUCCCCAAUAGAAGGGUAUUUUCUUUUCACUCAUCAUUCACUUUUUCCAUUUUUUCUUGGGUUUUGACUGAUGAGUGUUUGAUAGUUUUGAGUUAUAUAUACACACAUAUACUUACAUAUAAGAUUUUUGAGGUUAUUUUUGUCUUGUGGGAAAAUGUUCUUUUUUUAGUGUUUUGGGGUUAUUAGUGGAUAUCAUAGGAUUUGUUAGGAUAUCAUAUGGUUCUUGUAUCUUUGAUAAUUCAAUGAUUUGAAAAAAUUGUUAGGAUAUCAUAUGGUUCUUGGAUUUGACAAAAUUGUUGUCUUUUACUGGCAUUAUGAUUUUAAGGUUUUCAAUUUGCCUAAUUGUUGUCUAAUUAUUAAUUUGAUCGACUUGUUGGAAUUUGGAUUUAAUUGGAUUUAGAUUUUCUUGAUCUACUUGUCAUAUAUGGAAUAAGGUUAUGCCGAAUGUCGACACGUAACGGUCUCAUAUUUGUUCAUUUUUCUUUUCGUUGGUUAUAUUUGAUAAAUGGUGGUUUUUUCUCAGAGAAGAAAUAACUACAACCAGGGUAGAAGAAAGCUUAAUGGGAAAGCUUUUCGUGCUCAAAGAGAUGAUAGCAUUAAGCGAACUGUAUAUGUUUCUGAUAUUGAUCAGACUGUAAAUUUAAACAAUGGCAUCAUUUAAUGAUUUCUUAUAGUAUCAUUAUGAUUUCGAGAAGUCACUUGCGAAAUUCAUUGUCUUGUUGUUCUAGAUCACUGAAGAACAACUUGCUGGCUUAUUUAGUAACUGUGGACAAGUAAGUUAAAGAUCUCUAAUUGAGUGCCUUAGUUUGUGUUGGCACUCAGCUGAAGCCAUGGUACCAAACAACCUCUGAUUCCAUGGCAACUUUAAGUGAGGUGCUAGUGUUGGGCAUGGGUACUCCUGAUUCCUGAUUUAAUAGCCAUUCAUUAAUGUUAUUAGCAUUAUUUUUUGUUUGCUGAUGCCUGUUAUUCAAGAUUGAAUGAAUGGCUAAUCAAUAAUAGCCUGUGAAGAUGAAAAACCCCUCUGUUCCUUCUGUGCUCAUGUAGUUGUACUUAUCUCUUUCCAUUUUGGAAUUAAACACUAUUUAUAGUUGUUAAUGUAGUUGUGAAAUCACGUAGCAAUGGUUUAAGGGACUAAUUGUUACAAUCUAAAUGUUUUUCUCUAAGAUCUAGACAACUAUAUCUACUUUUGGGAAGUAAGCUAGUAAUUUUCAUUGAUACUAUUCUACUAGAGAACAGUACUUAUUUUUCUUAGGGAACAAUGUAAUCUACAAAGUAUAAUCUUCAUAGUUCCUACAUUUGUAGUUUACUUCGCUUCAAUUUACUUGAAGCAGCUAAAGCUUUAUGUUUUACCCUUAAAAGAAUAGUGAUUGUAUCUGAUUUUUACUCAGAAGAUGGCACAGUUAUUUAUCACAUAAUACUUGAUAAAAUUGAAAUUUGAGCAGCCUGAAGUGUAGUUUUUGUUUUUUGUUUUUAAAGAUUUGAGGAUUCUUAGCACAUAUAGGUCAAUUUUUUCAUCCUUUUUCUUUUUAUGCUUUACUUCAUUCUAGCACUUCGGCAAAAUCAUAGAUUUUACAUGUUAUAUAAUUUUUGUUAACAUCAUUAGAAUAUCUGAAAUGCAUCACUGCAAUUGUUAAGCUGUAUUAUGUUAAUAUGUUCUAUUAUUUCUGUCUCGAUGCUUAAGACCUGGUAUGUUGAAGUUGUCUCCAUUCCUUAUUUUCUGGCAGAUUUGUUAGUGGAAAUUAUAGGUUGUAAUGACUUUUUGGAGUCCUUUUACUUGAUUUAUUUUCCAUUCAUCUUUCUAAAGGACUUAAUAAUGAAGGUAUUUUCAGCUUUUGGAUUUGUGCAUAAGAAUACUACCUUUGAGAAGACAGCUGGAUUUCAGUCAGGGAUAUAUAUAUUGAAUGGGGACUGAUGCUAUUGAAGCAGGGGAGACUCCAUUUGACUCCUAUCCUAGUUCCUUUGAGUGCAGUGCAGUGCAGCAGUGGAGAUAAGGCUUAGACAUCUCACUGUGCUAGAGCUGACUGAAGCUUUUAGCACCAGUGGAGAUAAGGCUGUCCAGUGCAGCAGAAACGUCUCACUGUGCUGGAAGCAAGACAUCCAAACAGCCAAGCAAUUCACUGUGGUGCAGUGAGAUUGAAAAUCAAGGUAAAAAUUUUCAACGCAUUGUAGUGCAGUGAGAUUGAAAACUCUGCUUUUUUUUAAUUAUUAUUGUGUAAUAUAUUAUAUAGGUUAAUAUACCAUUUGGUACCCGAGCUUGGCUUUAAUGUUCAAUUUGGUACCUGAGUUUUUUGUCUCAA